rnacentral:rRNA from 1 species
UACGGAGGGUGCAAGCGUUAUCCGGAUUUACUGGGUUUAAAGGGUGCGCAGGCGGAUAUGUAAGUCAGUGGUGAAAUCUUCCCGCUUAACGGGAAAACUGCCGUUGAUACUAUAUAUCCUGAAUGCCGUGGAGGUAAGCGGAAUAUGUCAUGUAGCGGUGAAAUGCUUAGAGAUGACAUAGAACACCGAUUGCGAAGGCAGCUUACUACACGGAUAUUGACGCUCAUGCACGAAAGCGUGGGGAUCAAACAGG